UACGGAGGAUGCGAGCGUUAUCCGGAUUUAUUGGGUUUAAAGGGUGCGUAGGCGGAUCGUUAAGUCAGUGGUCAAAUUGAGGGGCUCAACCCCUUCCCGCCAUUGAAACUGGCGAUCUUGAGUGGAAGAGAAGUAUGCGGAAUACGUGGUGUAGCGGUGAAAUGCAUAGAUAUCACGCAGAACCCCGAUUGCGAAGGCAGCAUGCCGGCUUCCGACUGACGCUGAAGCACGAAAGCGUGGGGAUCGAACAGG
rnacentral:rRNA from 1 species